rnacentral:rRNA from 1 species
UACAGAGGAUGCAAGUGUUAUUCGGAAUUAUUGGGCGUAAAGCGUCUGUAGGUGGGCAAUUAAGUCUUUUGUUAAAUCUUUGGGCUUAACCGAAAGUGUGCAAAAGAAACUGCUUGCCUAGAGUCUGUUAGAGGUAAAGGGAAUUUCCAGUGGAGCGGUGAAAUGCGUAGAUAUUGGAAGGAACACCAACGGCGAAAGCACUUUACUGGGCCAGUACUGACACUGAGAGACGAAAGCUAGGGGAGCAAACAGG